GAGUCUGUGGCCCAACGGCUAAGGCGUCUGACUACGGAUCAGGAGAUUGCGGGUUCAAAUCCCGUCAGACUCG
rnacentral:tRNA from 1 species